UUGACAGUUGGAGGAAUAAAAUGUACAUGUGUUUUCUGUUUUGUCAUAUUUGACUUUGCCAUAUUAUUCAUUACAGAUUACAUGUUGUGUUUUUUUUAAGUUUAACGCCGUUUUUCCCAUAAAUUGUAAACAUGUCUGCAGCAGAAGCAGUGAAUUCCAGUGACAAUGAAAAUUUAUGUGUGGUGUGCUUCAAAAAUGUUGAAAUUUAUUCUGUGGGAGUUUGUGAUCAUGCCGUCUGUUUUGAGUGUUCAACAAGAAUGAGGGUGCUCUGCGAGCAAAAUGAAUGUCCCAUAUGCAGACAAGAGCUGCCCAAGGUUAUCUUCACAAAAGUUGUAGAACCUUUUGCUAGCCUCUUUCCGAGAUUCGAAAGGUCAAACUUACAGGACCGUAAAAUUGGCAUUUACUUUUGUACAUCUGAUAUUCAAAAAGAAUACCAAAAAAUUUUGGAACAUCGAUGCCAUAUUUGUGAAGAUAAAGAAAGAAAGUGGCCAUUCAAAACCUUCCAGCAGCUGAAAGAUCAUAUGAGGAGAGAACAUGAGUUAUUUUACUGCGAUAUUUGUGCUACGAACCUCAAGAUUUUCAGUUUUGAAAAACGCUGUUAUACAAGACAGGAAUUGGGGCACCAUAGAAGGAAAGGAGACCCUGAUAAUACCUCACACCGUGGCCAUCCUCUAUGUGAAUUCUGUGAUACUCGUUUCAUGGACAGUGAAGAACUAUUUCGACAUUUACGAAGAAACCAUCUCUAUUGCCAUUUCUGUGAUGCUGAGGGAAAACAUCAAUUUUACAAUAUUAUGGAAGAUUUGGUUAGACAUUUUCGCCAUGAACAUUUCUUAUGUGAAGAAGGGGAGUGUAAGACUAUGCCUCUUACUGCUGUGUUUAGAACUGACAUUGACUGUAAAGCUCACAAAGCUAUGGAACAUAGCAAAUUCAUGAGCAGAUCAGCUAAUAAGCAAGCAAGAACUUUAGAACUGGAGUUUACUCUGGCACCAAGACCAAGGUCUGAUAAUAUGAGGACCAGGAAAUAUAACGAUAGGAGGGAUAGAGAUGACGACUUGCCCUUAGAGGAUUACAACGUUGAACCGGGAGGAUCUGGUGGGGGUGGUGAUGAAAGGGGGCGUAUUUUCGUCAACCCUUUGACUUCUCAGGAUUUUCCUGCAUUGGGUGGAGCAAGCAGUAAUAUAGUCCAUACCAGACCAACCACUUCAGUCAAUUUCACAUCGAAAAUGAACUCAAAUUUCAGCAGCGAAGAUUUUCCUUCAUUAGGCACGGUAAAGAAUUCACCUGCAGUAACUAUAACUACCAACUCCUCAUCGGCAAAAUCAAGCAGAGCUCCGGAAGUAACGAUAACUAGGACUGUGAGGGGUCAGCAAAGUUUGAUCAAAUCUAAAGAUAAUUUCCCAGCAUUGAGUGGACCUAGUAGUUCCAGCGGAAGCAGCACAGUGAGGCUAAGUGUCAAUAGUUCCCAAGAUUCAAAUUCGCCAAAAGUAUCGAUCCAGGUGAACCACCGGCCUAAUGGCGGCGUCACCACUCAUAUCACCACAAGUGCCUCUUCGUCAACCCAGCAGAGGCCUCCAGAAGCUUUCCCUGCCUUGGGAAAAAGUGGAAAAGUAGCUCAACCACAGUGGGUUCAAGUGAAAUCUAAAAAACAAGAACAGAAAAAUUUAAAAGUUGCUCCGAAUCCUCAGUUACCACCUAAUUCUUUGGAUCAGUUUCCAACACUAUCGAAAAAGAACAGUUCAGGUUCGAUGCCUUCAUCCAGCAACUGGGUAAAUUUGAAUAGUGUUAAUAAUUCAAUUUCCAAAAAAAAAAUCAGUUCUUACUCUAAAAACAGUGUAGGUUGUUCUGAAUUGAAAGGUAAUGGUUUAGGUAAUGAUAAAAACACUGAAAGUAAGCAAUCAAUUCCAAAAGCAAAGCUACAAACUGUUGAGAAAAAACUGGUAGACCUAAGGAUUACUGAAAACGGUGAUUCAAAAAAUAAAAACAAGAAGAAGAAAGCCAAAAGUAAUUAUGGGGAAUCUUCUAAAGUAUCUUCGAGUAAUAAAGUUGAUCAUCAGUCUGAUAGUAAAUUCUGCUCAACAGGAAAUGGUGAUACUACCAAUAACGGUGAGUCUGAUUCAAAAAAUGGACUAGUUAAGAAGCGUUCUGAAUUGAAAAUUGGUACUUUAACAAACACUGGUGAUGCAUCUAUAAUUUCAAAUGACUUUCCUUCUCUGGGAGAUACAAAACCUCCUCCUGGAUUCAGCAUGAAACCACCACCAGGUUUGACAGCAUGUUCAUUCCCCAGUUUAGGUGCUUCAAACGAUUUAACAUUCACUUCCAGUAGUGGGCAAAGCUAUUCCAUAAAGCCGUGCAAUGACUACAGUCAACCAAAUAACUUUCAACUCAGAAAUCAAAAUCUAAUAAAAAGGUUCAUGGCUGUUUUGAACAACGAUGCAAUAAAAGAAUUCAAGACUUAUUCGGAUUUGUUUAGGAAUGGGUGUUAUCCUACUAUUAAAUAUUAUGAUCACUGCAAAGACGUCCUCGGUAGUUAUUUUGAUGAAAUUUUUCCGGAACUUUUAGUUCUUCUACCUGACAUAGCAAAACAGCAGGAAUUGUAUAAGGUAUAUGAUGGCAAGAAUAAAAAAAACUUGAUUGUUUGUGAAACUUGCAAGCAAAUUAUUUACAAAAGAGAACUUGCAGAUCACUACAACUUUCAUAUUUUAGAUAACCAAUUCCCAAGUCUCGGGAAAAUUGAACAAAUGAAUAAUGCUUGGAAAAAGUAAGAUUACUUUGAGAGUUGAAAAACUGUAGGUUUAGGCAGAAUCAUUUUUUUAUAAUUAUUAUAAUUUUAAACUGAGGGUCAAUUUAUGUCUAUUUUCAAAGAUAAUGGUAAUUUCACCACUAUUCUUUGUCAUUUAUGCGCAGUAUAUUUUGAACAGAUCCCAGCUUUUUUUUAUACAUUGAUUCCUUACAAAAUACCACUCGGUACUUUUUCAUUUAUCAAUUUUAUUGUAAUUGAUGCCAAACUAAAGUAGUUUAUACAUUUGAAAAGAUAAACAAAAAUUUGUAUAAAAUUCUCAACGUUAACUAAUUCAGCUUUGCCAGCUUUGAAUUGAACUUCUCUCAAUUCAAAAUUUAAAUGAAUAACAACAUUGAAAGUAAAUUGUUUUAUUGAUUGUUGGUAAUAAAAGAAAAAAUUCUAAGUAAAUUAAGUCACUUCAGUUAUCAUAUAUUAGUGGGUAUAUAUCAUUUAAAAAAUUAAAAUACUGAGGUUUCUGCUUUUGGUGUAUUUUUGAAUCAAAUUUCAUUUGAAAUAGUCCUUACCAACCAAUAUUACAAGUACAUUUUCGAAAAUAGUUGAUUGCAUUUGAUAUAUUUAUUUAUGAAAUAUAAGAUGGUAAGUUAAAUUGCUGUUGCUGUUCAUAUUAGUGAUAUUCAAAUAUAUUCCUCUUGAGUAUUAGAAAUUUCGCUGAAUGUGAUGUCGAAGGUCUAUUGGUAUUUCGAUUCUUUUUUCUAUUAGGAUUCAGCAAUUUCAAUUCAAUGCAUUAUUGUAUUGGCUGAGGUACAUUCGAAAACAAUUGCUAGUUAAGUGGUGUUUUUGUUAAUAGAUUAUUUAUUUUCAUUUGCUUACAUAAAACAUAAUUGCAAUGUUAUUGAGACUUCAUUUAUAGUUUUCUUAUGUAACCUUUCAGUCUAACAUACAAUCAAGGGAAAUAUAGAAUUUUGGAUUUUUGUAAAAAUUGUAAAUAAAAUUUUAUGCAUGUUAUACUUUUAUAACAAAAAUUGUUCAUAUGUUGAGUAUUUUCUAAAUAAAAUCAAGAUUAA
rnacentral:misc_RNA from 1 species